AGCUGACUUCUUUCAUUUUGCAAGCAUCCAAAUACUGUGGCUAGGCUCAAGGGUACGGCACGCUACCAUUUCAUGAGAAUAGAAUGAAGCUGAUCAACGCUGGAGCUCAAGACUGCCAACAUACCAUGAGCCAAAGACAUUAUACAGAAGGAAGAAGAGAGAAUAAAAGCAGGAAAGUAAGCGAGAGAGGUGGGAGUGUAGACAGGGACUUAUUUGAAGUGAGAGAUUUGCGGCAAGAGAGAGAAAGAGAUGGAGUCAGGGAGAUGGGCGGGUAGAGUUAGUAUAGGGAAGAGAAAGAGAGGGGGAGUAGAAAGUGGAGGAAAGAAGAUUGAUGGAAAUCUCAGGAGUUUCAUUAAGCUGGAUGUCGAAGCGCACAGUUAUCACGAGGGCUGUCUCUAUCAACGGGGACUCAUCUCUCUCAAAGCCUGCUUAAUUCUCAGAUGGGAGUGUGUGUGUGUGCGGUGGAGGGUUAGCGUGUUUCAGCUGCAUAACUGCAUUAACCGAAAAGGCCAUAAAGGAAUAACAAUUGCACACUGCCGUCCUUACACUAGCGGACUAAAUCUGACAGUUGGCCACAUGCGGCAGACUCUUCUCUCUCCCAGCCUUCGUCUCUUUCUGUCUCCCAAGAGCUCCGUCAGUAUGAAGAGGCCCGAGGACGCCAUCUCAUCUUCUCUCAGCCGGUGUCAAGCAACAAUCCUGCGGGGCCCGUCCCUGCUUAAUUCAGCUUAGAGGCCCUCUCUCGUCCCCGACAUUCCUGAUCGCCUCAUUUUUCCGGGUAUGCCUCUCAGGGCUGAGGUAAUUAUUUCCAGAAUAAUAAUAACAGAGAGAUUAGUGUGUUUAGCAGGCAGAUGUAUUGCCCUGUUCCAUUGCCUUACUUAUAUUUGCCUCUGAACUGAGUGACCUAUUAGAAUAGAUUAAUUCUGCUAUAAAAAAUGAAAGCGCUUAAUGACCCCUGUCUCUUGAUGGAGAGAUGAGGAACCCGCCUGAGGAUGAUUUCUUCAGACAUCCCCUGAUCUAUCAAAUUCCACGCUGGACACCGGGAGCAGCAGGUGUUAAAGUCUUCAUUCGUUUCUGUCUUGGUUAUAGAUGACCUGGCUCUAUGAAAUUACUCAAAUGGUGGAUGGCCAUUACAUUUACCAGGAACCAGGUGGAAUGAAAAAUUGCAAAUGAAGAAAACUGUAUUAUUAUUUAUUAAAAGUUCUGUUACAUGAGGUCUUUUGUAGCAUGUAUUGCCUCCUGUUAUGAAAUCUGAAAUAUUUACAAAGUUAAAAUGCAGCAUUUUGCCUGACAAAAUAAUAGUAAAAACAAAAUAUAUAUAUAUAUAUAUAUAUACAUUAUUUUUUUUUUUUUCAUAUCAUUUAAAAAGUUUUAUGUUUUGUAUAAUAGUUAAUGCAUCAGGCUUUUCUUUUUAAUCAGUAAGUAUAUGGCUCUCAUAUCUCAACAAGAAGAAAAAAAAAUCCUAAUAAUAUGUCUUAUAUAUAAAAAUACAAUGCUAUUUAAAUUAUUAGUUUUGUGAUCAAAGUUCUGUAGUUUUAGGGCAAAGCCUAUAAUGCAAUACAAUACUGUGUAAUGCAUCAGGCUUUUAUUUUUAUAUAGAGUAAGUAUAUGGCUCUCAUAUCUCAACAAGAAGAAAAAAAAUCCUAAUAAUAUGUCUAUAUAUAUAUAUGGACAUUCAAAUAAAUCUAAAAUGCUUGACUCCA
ensembl:lncRNA